rnacentral:rRNA from 1 species
UACGGAGGGAGCUAGCGUUGUUCGGAUAUACUGGGCGUAAAGCGCACGUAGGCGGAUUUGUAAGUCAGGGGUGAAAUCCCGGGGCUCAACCUCGGAACUGCCUUUGAUACUGCAAAUCUCGAGUCCGGAAGAGGUGAGUGGAAUUCCUAGUGUAGAGGUGAAAUUCGUAGAUAUUAGGAAGAACACCAGUGGCGAAGGCGGCUCACUGGUCCGGUACUGACGCUGAGGUGCGAAAGCGUGGGGAGCAAACGGG